AGGGAGUUUAUUGAAUCUCCAUCCUUGAAGUAUUGAAGUUUUAAGUGGAUGAGACUCUGAGCAGCUUGAUGCAAAUUUGAAGUUAAACCUGCUUUGAUCAUGAGGGAGUAUGAGAAAAAAAUUUAAAAGGACUCACUUGUCCUCAUGGGAAGCAAAAACAUGCCUGCAACCACAAUUAGAAGCUGAGAAAACUGUUUCCUACUGUUUCAACUCUUCAGUGAUCAGCACACUUCRGCGUAGCAAAUAUGAACAUAGAAAUUGCUUCACGUUUCAGAUUUAACUCAUUUUUCACUGA